GACGAACGCUGGCGGCGUGCCUAAUACAUGCAAGUCGAGCGAAGUUUUUCUGGUGCUUGCACUAGGAAAACUUAGCGGCGAACGGGUGAGUAACACGUAAAGAACCUGCCUCAUAGACUGGGACAACUAUUGGAAACGAAAGCUAAUACCGGAUAACAGUAUUUCUCGCAUGAGAGAUAUUUAAAAGUUGGUUAUGCUAACACUAUGAGAUGGCUUUGCGGUGCAUUAGCUAGUUGGUGGGGUAAAGGCCCACCAAGGCGACGAUGCAUAGCCGACCUGAGAGGGUGAUCGGCCACACUGGGACUGAGACACGGCCCAGACUCCUACGGGAGGCAGCAGUAGGGAAUCUUCCGCAAUGGGCGAAAGCCUGACGGAGCAACGCCGCGUGAGUGAAGAAGGAUUUCGGUUCGUAAAGCUCUGUUGUUAGGGAAGAAUGGAUAUGUAGUAACUAUACAUGUAAGAGACGGUACCUAACCAGAAAGCCACGGCUAACUACGUG
rnacentral:rRNA from 1 species